rnacentral:lncRNA from 1 species
GUGUUUUGUACUCGUUCGGGAUUCAGGCUGUAUAUGAGUUAGUGAGGACUGAAGAGAGGAGAGUUAAACAAACAAGCAAACAAACAAACACACAGGGCAAGAAAACAGGACCCAACAGCAGACGCUGACACCCUCCCGACCUGCAGUGCAGAGUGAUUCCAAGAACCGCGCGCGACAUUCCGUGUCUCAGGAAAGAUGGUCUAAAUCAAGCAGUGCUUAGAGCCUCCCACAACGGGCCUUCAACCAUAUUUGGAAGAAAAGAAGGAAUCCAGAGAGGAAAUGGUUACCUGUGCUUACAGGCGGUCUGCACCACAAGCGCUGACUCAGCAAGAGGGAACUCUGCGUACCCCUGUCCCGAAAGCCCCUUGAGCAAGGACGUCAGAAAGAGACUAAAAUGGAGGGACAGCCUCCGAGGGCCCUGGAGCAGGGUAACAUGAGAUCUAUGACUAUCUAGUCAUUCGCUACCUGCAUUUGAAAGCAUAUGCAUUAUUAUGGUUGUCACCAUUUAUAGUAGUAUACUUAGACGUUGUCCAUCGAAUCUGGACGCAUACUCAAUUUGAAACUAAAUAAAACCUAAAGGAACAUAGGUGACCAUGAGGGACUCCAGGGAACAUUCUCUGGGACGGAACUCUGUGAAGAGUGGAGAAGAGGCCUCUAGGAUCAAGCUAUUCAUCAUGGAUACAGCCUCAGAUCCAGGACCUCCACCCUCUGGUGCAGUAUUUCCAGGAUAUUAGUGGGGGACUGUGGACCAUUCAAGCCUUGGAACAAGUCUAGCCCAACCACUGUCUAACUUUGCUGCUGACGGAAGCCUGACCCAGCCCUGACCUCGUAGACCUUAUAGGAAUAUGUUCUCAGCUCACUGCUCCACAUUUCUGGCCCUGUGACCUCACCAAACAAACACCUGCCUAUCUCAGAGCAUUGUAUCUAUUCAUGUUGAUUUCUGUCUCUUCCUUAUUAGUCUCUUGCACAAACCAUGAACUGGAUGAAAGCAAGAACGGGAUCGUUUGGGUUCUGUGGGUGACAUCAGGACUUGACUGUGGACUUGACUUGCAUCUGGCACAGCCUGCUCGCCAGCUCCUAUUCCCUUGCCCACCUGUUCUUUGACCUUGAACGCCCAACCCCUUUUUCUUGGCAUCAGUAUCGUCCUCUCUAAGAGCAGAGAUUAGGAUUAAUAAAUCUAUGACGUGCUUGUCACAGGGACUAAUGAGACUGUACUUAAGACUCAGCUCUGUUUUUUAGCGCGUUGGAAAUAGUCAAUAGGUAUUAGAGGAAAUCAUCCCCCAAAACUCAGUAGCUAAAAACAAAACACGAAAUAAGCAAGGCAUGGGAGAUGGCUCAGCCCUUGCAGGCUGGGCUCACAAACAAACAAAAGAUUCAUUAUAGCCAGCGCUGGGAUUAUGGCUCAGUCAACCAAGCCUUGCAGAUCUGAGGAUAUGAGUUCUGGCCCCUAGAAUCCACAUAAAAAGCCAAGUAUAGCGGGAUACAUCUGUGGUCCCAGAAUCAGCAGGAUGGGAGACAGGAGACAGACAGAGCCCUGGUAGCCUCAUGGGCUGGUUAGCCUUAUGUGCCUGGAAAGUUCUAGGCCAAUGAAAGACCCAAAGUGCCUGAGGACCAGCACUAACGUUCAUUGUUCUCUUAUCUCUAC